GCCGAAAUAGCUCAGUUGGGAGAGCGUUAGACUGAAGAUCUAAAGGUCCCUGGUUCGAUCCCUAGUUUCGGCA